AUGAACGCUGGCGGCGUGCCUAAUACAUGCAAGUCGAGCGAACGGACGAGAAGCUUGCUUUUCUGAUGUUAGCGGCGGACGGGUGAGUAACACGUGGAUAACCUACCUAUAAGACUGGGAUAACUUCGGGAAACCGGAGCUAAUACCGGAUAAUAUUUUGAACCGCAUGGUUCAAAAGUGAAAGACGGUCUUGCUGUCACUUAUAGAUGGAUCCGCGCUGCAUUAGCUAGUUGGUAAGGUAACGGCUUACCAAGGCAACGAUGCAUAGCCGACCUGAGAGGGUGAUCGGCCACACUGGAACUGAGACACGGUCCAGACUCCUACGGGAGGCAGCAGCAGGGAAUCUUCCGCAAUGGGCGAAAGCCUGACGGAGCAACGCCGCGUGAGUGAUGAAGGUCUUCGGAUCGUAAAACUCUGUUAUUAGGGAAGAACAUAUGUGUAAGUAACUGUGCACAUCUUGACGGUACCUAAUCAGAAAGCCACGGCUAACUACGUG
rnacentral:rRNA from 1 species